CCGCCCCACCGCCGCGCCCCGCGGAUGAUGCUCGGCACGGAGGGGUUCCCCCCCUCCCUCCUCUCCCUCCCACCUCUCCUUUCCCCUCCCCUCCCCUCAGCCCUCGGUACUCAGCCCUUGACUUUGCCGAAGGUGCCGACCCCCAGCGUAUCCCCCAGCACGUAGUGACCGAUCUUCACCCUCCCGUCGUGCUUCUGCUGCUUCUCGGCCAUCUUCGCCCCCCGGCGGAGGACCACAAUGCGCAGGGCCGGCACGACUGAUGCACUGUGAGCAUUUAGCCUGUUGAGCACAUUGACACUGAUGGAUGCUGAGCACUUUCAAGCUGGCCAUUUAGAGAGUUUGUAACCAGAAAUCAAUCCAGGCAGAAAAAAUGUACAUCUACCUGUUUACAUCAUAAACCACAAACGCGUUUGCAUCCUGCAACAAACACCUGGGCAACAUCCAGAGGAGACAUUCCCAACGUGUUAACUACUGCCAGCGCUGGGAUCCUGUAACCACAGCACAUGGAGAUGAUGGGAACUCAGUUAAAUUAAGGAGAACCACCAAGAUUGUGAAACGUGGCAGCAGGACAAGAGCUGGUUGCAACACAGGCUAGACUUUAGGUCUGUUGGCCAAUCGAACACAUCUGAUGCUGGUGAUUGGGAUGCCAGAGACAGUUCCCUGACUGCUGAUCUACCCUGUGGGUCACUGAGGCACGUUCUUGAGGGCUGAUCCUCCUGGCCUGCACAAAUCUGCAUGUCCAAUUUCCCGAAUGGCAGAAAAUUCUACAUUAAGAUGACAUUUAUCAGCUAAUCUUUUAAAAGAAAUUAACUGGGUAUUUAUGAGGCUUAGACUUAGGGUAUCAUAGAAUCAUUAAGGUUGGAAAAGACCACCAAGACCAGCAAGUCCGACUGUCAACUGAUUCCCCACCAUGCCCACCAACUACAUCCUUCUGUGCCACAAUCUAACUUCUCAGUGGCACCAGGGAGAGCACAACCAAGCUCCUUUUGGAUCCCACUUGUAUCUUGUUCCCUUACUGCAAGGACAGACCCAAGCCCAACCCUGGCAAACAUUUCCUACCAGGGCAGCCACCACUGUGCAGGCUGGGUGAUGAGGCACCAGUGGGUGCAAGGAAACCCUAAAGCCCACAGGGGUCAGGGCUGGCAAUGCCCCACAUCCCUCCAUGCUGCUCAGCCCUUCUGCUGAUGUUCUGCAGGAGAGCAGCAGCUGAUGGUGCUAAAAAUACCCUUGGGCAGGGUAGCAGUGGUUCAGCACUGGGCUUCCCAGAAGAGUGCUGGUAUUUCAGCCUUGUGACUCCAGCUCAGGCCACUUGAUGAACAGCAUGCAACUUUGCUCUGAUUUCCCCAUUUGGUAGGGAACAAUCUCAGUAACGGAUGGAUAAGUCAGCAAACAGCAUAGUUCGCUUUCUUAUUUUAGGUCUCCCAUAGACAUAGAUAUGAAUGACUCUGAAAUAUAGGCAGCACCUGGUCCUUCCCUGCUGUCACAUUGUCCCCUUGAUGGAAAAGCAAAGGAGAUUCCUAUACAAGAUCCCUCUGUAGGUCUGAGGAGGCAGCCGUAAAUGUCCGACCAUAUGCGUGCCAAACAUCCAACCACUCUGCAACCUCACUUUGCCCAUUGCACGUGGGGCAAGAUGGGAGGGAUUCCCCAAAUCUGCAAGCACAUCCCAUAAAAUACCCCGGACACCAGCUGAGAGCACCACCUGUCAGUGGAGUGCUUUGUUCCCAAACCAGGUCCUGCUGGCACAUCCCUCUGACACACUCUACAGAAGAAAAAGUAAAACUAGGAACUUUUUGACUUCUUAUUUUGCAGAAGUGUGACCUUUCGACCUGAAUCACGAUGAGUGGUUAUGAGGAAGAGCUGCUCUCACUUCUAAAUUAUUGCCAUGCAAUGAGCAGGUUUCCAUGGGGUAGCUGAAGGCAUGUCCUGAGGUACAAGGGAUACAAGCAUCCCAUUCUUGCUCUACUUUGCACUAAAGGACUGGUCUUAGAGGAGCUUAUUCUCUAAAAAUGACCUGACUGGCUGAAUAAAACACAAUUUCUGUUUUAAUAUUGUUGUGUUAUGAAACACUGCAAUAGAGGCACAAAUGUGGGCAAGAACAAGUUUUACUGCAGACGCUUUAUCUGCUGAUAGAUUGUCCCAGUGCUGCAUUCCUCAUUCCCUGGGGGUCUGGUCCAGCUCAGAUUGGAAGAUAGUGAAGAUCUUGGGAGAUCUCCAGUAGUGUGGGUCAAAAUUCACUGAUUACAGAAAUGCAAUUGGUUCAGUUGAUCUGCAUAAAGAAAAAAACCACAGCCCAUAGUGGGAAUGUAGAGUAGGAUUGAGAGGAAAAGCUGAGCCCUAAUAGGGAGGCUGGUGCAUGGUGUAUUCAAUAAUUGCAUUUAUGAAUAAACAAUUAAGUAUUACCAAUGAAUCUCUUGCAUUUUAUUGACCCAGGCACAGAAGCUGCUUUUUGGCACUGAUGACUUGCUCAGUUCACGCUUGACAAUGGGGAAUUGUAGUGGCUGUUCCCUUAAGAAAUCAUCCAAGAUUGGGACUUAUUUGUGCGCCAUUGCUUGCAUCAAUUAACAGUACAAUCUUUUUGUUAUGAAAACGCAAACAUUAGUAGCCUGAGGAGCCUUGUAAAUGCAAAUAUAAAACUUUAAUUUCAGUAACCCCCACUUUCC
rnacentral:lncRNA from 1 species